rnacentral:rRNA from 1 species
CCUACGGGAGGCAGCAGUGGGGAAUAUUGCACAAUGGGCGAAAGCCUGAUGCAGCAACGCCGCGUGAGCGAUGAAGGCCUUCGGGUCGUAAAGCUCUGUCCUCAAGGAAGAUAAGGACGGGACUUGAGGAGGAAGCCCCGGCAAACUACGUGCCAGCAGCCGCGGUAAUACGUCGGGGGCUAGCGUUAUCUGGAAUUACUGGGGGUAAAGGGGGCGUAGGGGGUUUCUUAAGUCAGAGGUGAAAGGCUACGGCUCAACCGUAGUAAGCCUUUGAAACUGGGAAACUUGAGUGGAGGAGAGGAGAGUGGAAUUCCUAGGGUAGCGGUGAAAUGCGUAGAUAUUAGGAGGAACACCAGUUGCGAAGGCGGCUCUCUGGCACGUAACUGACGCUGAGGCACGAAAGCGUGGGGAGCAAACAGGAUUAGAUACCCUUGUAGUC